rnacentral:sRNA from 1 species
UGGGAUUUUCCAGGCAAGAGUACUGGAGCGUGGUGUCAUUGCCCUCUCCGAGGGCUUAGCAUGACUGAAAAUAAUUUGUGAUUGUAGCUUCAGAAGAGAAAGAUAAUGAAAUGACUAAGGAAAACAGAUAUCAUGUCUUCCAAGAACUUUGUAACCAUGCUGAUGUGCUGCAGUAAUGACCAGGAAUUUAUUCUGUCUCUAUGGGGACAGAUAAGCAACAUCUAAACAUGCAUUUGAAAUUAUAGGGUGGAAUCUUGGUGUCAGGAAAUGAAGACGUACCUUAAGGACAGCAGCGCAAAUAUGACCCUAUAGAAUACUACUUGUAAAGUACACAACGUGUGCUGACCAUGGGCCAGUCACUGAUUAUAUCAUGCUAUCU